UACGUAGGGUGCAAGCGUUAAUCGGAAUUACUGGGCGUAAAGCGUGCGCAGGCGGUGAUGUAAGACAGUUGUGAAAUCCCCGGGCUCAACCUGGGAACUGCAUCUGUGACUGCAUUGCUGGAGUGCGGCAGAGGGGGAUGGAAUUCCGCGUGUAGCAGUGAAAUGCGUAGAUAUGCGGAGGAACACCGAUGGCGAAGGCAGCCCCCUGGGCUGAGAUUGACGCUGAGGGCACGAAAGCGUGGGGAGCAAACAGG
rnacentral:rRNA from 1 species